rnacentral:lncRNA from 1 species
AUGUUUGCAAAUAUUUCUCCCUUAUUAUUUAUUUUAGUGUUCAACUUGCCCUUGUUGACCUUUAAAAGAAAGUUUUCAAGUUGUUUGAAAGUUGUUUUCUUUAGACCUACCAUGUACUUGCUGGCACUUGUCAAGAGCUGUGAAGACAUAAGACAUAAGACAGGGUCCUUGCCCUUUUUGCCCUGGGAGACUCAAGCUUGCAGAGAUCCAGCCAGUCUCUGCUGGGUUGCCCACACAGGCCACCACUCAGCCCUGCCUCUUUUCCUGGACAGAAACAAGCCUUUUCUGCUCCUCUUACCCAUGAAGCUGAAAUAUUCUUCAGAGAAGCCAGCAGAAGGGGAAACCCAAAGCAAAGACACCAACAGGGACUCUCAGCGCUGGAAAGAAAGGGCUCAGCCGUGGGAGCCCCCGCAGAGCUCCCUGGAGCCCUGACCUGUUUCCAGGCUAUGCUGUGUUCAGGCUCUGAGCUCAGCUCCCUCCCCUGUGAGAUGAUCCAGAGCAUAGCCUGCAUGUGCGCGUGGCCAUAUGGGACCAUUUGGUGAGACUUGGAUUCUGAAGUCAGGAGGCAUGGCGCACAGUAGGUGUUCAACAGACAACAAUCCCCUUCCUGCUGCUUCACUGCCCGUGUGGGUUUAGGGUCUCCACCUGAGUGCUCAGGCGCUGGGAGCCCACCGGUGGAUCUGAGUCCCCAGCUGGCUAUGCCUGGGGAACUAACCUAGCCGGAGAGGCCCGCCGUCUCCUUUUAGUGACAUGGGCUUGGCCACGGUUGUUACAUGGGAGGGCCGUUAGGGGCUGUAUGACUGGAUAGGAGCAAAGCAUUUAGCGCAGUGACUGGCAUAGAGUUGGUGCUCAGAAAAUGCCAGUGGCUCUGUGGUUAAUUUUUAUCCCGUACACCCACACACCAGCACACAGCUCUCCUCCUUAAUGCUAGAGCCAGAAACACCGUGACCCCAGGAAGAGCCAGGUCGGGGUACAGCCUCAGCCCGAACCCUCAGAAGCUGCUUCAUCAACCAUAUCUCCCAGCUGAAUCAGCAUCACCUGUGGGACUUUUGGCACCACAGUGACACCCACAAACCCUGCUCUGGGGGGAUGGGGUCAGGUCAAGAAAGGUGCCAAUGAGUUCCCAAGGCAAGAGAAUACUUCCCUCCAAGCCCACCACCCAGGCCCCAGUACACUGCGAGGUGCGUGGAGAGGCAGGCCUGCUCCAUGUGGCCAACCUGUGACCAACGUACCUUGUGGGAAAAUAAAGACUUGGAGCUGCAGCAGCGGGACCUGGGGAAAACCCAGAGACUAUUUCACAGCGAGAAGCCCAGGUUCAGGAGGGGAAGUGACUGUGCCAGGUCACCUGACAGCCGAUGCUAGGUCGAAUCACCUAGUGGUUCUCGUCGCUGCUUUCGCCUCCUGACCAUGAGCCAAGACUUCGAGAGAUCGUCCUUCAUAUACAGACAUGGACAGUUGUAAUCACUCUUGAAAAGGCAUUGUUUCUAUACCCAACUGCUUUUUAAAAAGUCUUUAUUGAAUUCGUUACAAUAUUGUUUCCGUUUUAUGUUUUGGUUUUUUGGCCAUGAGGCAUGUGGGAUCUUAGCCCCCCGGCCAGGGAUCAAACCCACGUCCCCUGCAAGUCCUAACCACUAAACCACCAGAAAAGUCCCUAUACCUGACUUCUGACCAUUCUGUUCCUCAGCUUCUUAUUGUGAUCAACUAUUCAGGGGUGAGAUUCACAUAACAUACCAUUAACCACUCCAGAGUGUACAAUCAAGUGCAUUCACAAUGCUGGGCAACCACCAGCUCUCUCUACUUUCGAAACUUUUUAUCACCCUAUAAAAAGUCCCACACCUGUGAGAUAAUCCUCCAUCCUCCCCCGGGAACCUCUGGCCUGCUUUCUGUCUCUGUGGGCCUUCUGGAGGCAUCAUAUAAAAGGAAUCACACAACGUGUGGCCUUUGGUGUCUGACUUCUGGCAUUUGGUAUAAUGUUUUGCAGAUUCAUCCGCUUAUAAUAUGCAUCAGUGCUUCAUUCCUUUUACGGCUACCUCAUAUUCUACCGUUAUAGAUAUGCUAUUCAUCCUGGAUGGACAUUUGGACUGCUUUGUCAUUUCUGAACAUACAGGAAGACUGAAAAAAUCGUGCGAUGAGCACUCCUUUUCCCAUACCCCUGACUCAGCAACAGAGUCUGGACUAGAGCGAGAUCAGCAAGGUGUUUUGUCGGGGCGUUGAAGGAAGGGCUUGCUUCCAGCAUCUGCAGGGGUGGGUGGACCUUGAGAGGCAUGACCCCCUCAAGGCAGCCCCUGAGGCAUGUUGCCAGCCUCAUUCUGGUCCUGGCCCUGUUGAACCAUUUUAAUCUGUUGCCAUGCUUGCAUUGGCUGUCAAGGGACCUGGUGCAUAUUUGAAGAUGGAUUAUGGACCACAUGACACUUUACUCCUCAGUUGCUCAGCUCCCAAGGACGAUGUGCAUAGUAAAAAACCCAUUCCCCACCGUGAUUUCAUGUCACCUCCACCUUCCAACCAUAGUCACAUUUCCCAAAGGCUCCAAGUUCUUCUCUCAUAGAUCUUUUGCUUAAAUGGUUGGUUUAUUUUCACAACCAACUAAGCAAAUGAUCUAUGAAAGAUGUUGUUUGGGGGCUUCCCUAGUGGCUCAGAUGGUAAAGAAUCUGCCUGCAAUGCACAAGACCCAGGUUCAAUCCCUGGAUUGGGAAGAUCCCCUGGAGAAGGGAAUGGCUACCCACUCCAGUAUCCUUGCCUGGAGAAUUCUAUGGACAGAGGAGACUGGUUGGCUACAGUCCAUAGGGUCAUAAGGAGUCAGGUAUGACUGAGUGACUUUCACUGUCCCUGUUUCUUUUAGUUUGUUUUUAACAGGAUCUAAUGGAGCUUCCCACAUCACAUGUGGAUACUGUGUCUCUUUCACAUUAAAAUGGCCAGGGUUUCCCCCUCUGCCCCAUGGCAUAGGCCUUUUAAAGAGUGCCUUUUUAUACAGAGUGAAGUCAGUGAAAAAGAAAAAACCAAUACAGUAUAUUGAUGCAUAUAUAUGGAAUUUAGAAAGAUGGUAACAACGACCCUAUAUGCAAGAUAGCAAAAGAGACACAGAUAUAAAGAACAGACUCUUGGACUCUGUGGGAGAAGGUGAGGAUGGGAUGAUUUGAGAGAAUAGCAUUAAAACAUGUAUAUUACCAUGUGUGAAAUAGAUGACAGGCUCAGUUUGAUGCAUGAAACAGGGCACCCAAAGCUGGUGCACUGGGAUGACUCAGAGGGAUGGGAUAGGGAGAGGGGUGGGAGGGGGGUCCAGGAUGGCGGGACACAUGUACACCCGUGACUGAUUCAUGUCAAUGUAGGAGGCAAAAACCACCACAAUAUUGUAAAAUAAUUAGCCUCCAAUUAAAAUAAAUAAAUUAAUUUUUUUUAAAAAAGAGUCCAAACCUUAGAGUCUCUUAGAAUGGCCCGCACCAUGGAUUUGCGUGACUGUUUUCUCCUGAUGUUAUUUAACUUGUGCUUCUGUCGCCUGUAGAUCCCGUGACUUGGGAUUUGGGGCUGGAAAUUAAACAUGCUGGCAAGAAUACUCCACAGGUAAGGUGUGCUCUGCACGUCGUCUCACGUCGGGAAGCCUGUGAUGCCAGGUGGUCCUGCUAUGAAUGGAUGAUGCUAAAUUUGGCCAGUCGGAUAAAUGCAUGGCCACCAUAGUUGUCUGUUAUAAUGGCCAUUUUUCCUUUUGUAAUCAGUAAGCAAGCUGGGGAGACUCUUUGCGGCUGCACAAAUAUCCUGUUCCCCAACAACCCUUCACUCACUGGCCUUUAACACCCGUUAAUGAUUCCUGCUCAAAUCACAAAUUACACUGGAGGCUGUGAAAGGUGUGAAAGGUUGUGAAAGGUGACUUUCUUUUCUUUUUUUUUUUUUUUUUGAAAGGUGACUUUCUAGCCUUAUCAUUUCUUCCACAGGUCUCAGCUGGCAUUCUUUUGAAAAGAAGAGCUCCCCUCUUCUCCUUCACCCUCUCUUUCUCUUACACACACACACACACACACACACUGAAUUCAUGGAUUUUUCUAUUUGUUUCAUAUAAAGUUUCAAGCAAAGUUUCUACUUGUUUCACUGAUGAUAGCCAUUUUUCUUCCUGAUGCUCAGAAGCCUCAAAUUUGGCCAAAGGAUCCCUUCAAGUCUACUUCUGCACCUUUCUGACAUGACUUCACUAGUGUUUAAGCACAUCCUCGCUUCUUGGGAAAGAUUGAAGGCAGGAGAAGAAGGGGGUGACAGAGGAUGAGACAGCUGGAUGGCAUCACUGACUCAAUGGACAUGAGUUUGAACAAGCUCUGGGAGUUGGUGAUGGACAGGGAAGCCUGGCGUGAUGCAGUCCAUGGGGUGGCAAAGAGCUGGACACAACUGAGCAACUGAACUGAACUUGCUUCUUGGAACAAUAAGAUGUCCUAAACUUACCUUGUACUUUCCUUUCCUCGAGUCUGGAAUCAACUGCUUCUCCGGAAAGGUGUAGUUCUUUUUGAUGGUUAGUGGUCUUAGAAAUCAAGACUGAACCCUGGGUGGUCUCAUUGCUCCUGGAGUUCUUGCUUCUGAGCUCUUUCAGUGGACAAAGGUGGGGAAACUGAAAUCAGUUUAUAAUAUUAUCAGUUCAAAUUUAACCAUCUAUUUCUUCUCUUAACUUUUUUGCUGUUGCUAAUUUAUAUUUGAAUCUCAUUUCUCUCACACAGACUUAGUUUCUAACAGUAUUAACAUACAUAUUUAUUUACUUGAUUUUAUGAUAUACGUAAAAUACUUCCAAAAU